rnacentral:sRNA from 1 species
GCUGGGUAUGGUGACGCCUGCCUGUAAUCCCAGCUGCUUGAGAGGCUGAGACAGGAGGAUCAGGAGUUCAAAGCCAGCCUUAGCACCAGGGAGGCACUAAGCAACUCAGUGAGACCCUGUCUCCA